GGGCCCGAGUUGUAAUUUGUAGAGGAUGCUUUUGGCGAGGUGCCUUCCGAGUUCCCUGGAACGGGACGCCACAGAGGGUGAGAGCCCCGUAUGGUCGGACACCGAGCCUCUGUAAAGCUCCUUCGACGAGUCGAGUAGUUUGGGAAUGCUGCUCAAAAUGGGAGGUAUAUGUCUUCUAAAGCUAAAUAUUGGCCAGAGACCGAUAGCGCACAAGUAGAGUGAUCGAAAGAUGAAAAGCACUUUGAAAAGAGGGUUAAAAAGUACGUGAAAUUGUUGAAAGGGAAGCGCCUAUGACCAGACUUGGGCCCGGUGAAUCACCCAGCGUUCUCGCUGGUGCACUUUGCCGGGCACAGGCCAGCAUCAGUUCAGCGCGGGGGAGAAAGGCUUCGGGAAUGUGGCUCCCUCGGGAGUGUUAUAGCCCGCUGCGUAAUGCCCUGCGCCGGACUGAGGUACGCGCAUUGCAAGGAUGCUGGCGUAAUGGUCAUCAGCGACCCGUCUUGAAACACGGACCAAGGAGUCGUCUUCGUAUGCGAGUGUUCGGGUGUCAAACCCCUACGCGUAAUGAAAGUGAACGUAGGUGAGAGCUUCGGCGCAUCACCGACCGAUCCUGAUGUUCUCGGAUGGAUUUGAGUAA
rnacentral:rRNA from 1 species